rnacentral:tRNA from 1 species
UGCCCGAUGGUGAAAUGGUAUCACACCGCCCUUUGGAGGCGAGGUUCCUGGUUCGAGUCCAGGUCGGGCAG